rnacentral:rRNA from 1 species
GAUGAACGCUGGCGGCGUGCCUAAUACAUGCAAGUCGAACGCUUCACUUCGGUGAAGAGUGGCGAACGGGUGAGUAAUACAUAAGUAACCUGGCAUCUACAGGGGGAUAACUGAUGGAAACGUCAGCUAAGACCGCAUAGGUGUAGAGAUCGCAUGAACUCUAUAUGAAAAGUGCUACGGGACUGGUAGAUGAUGGACUUAUGGCGCAUUAGCUGGUUGGUAGGGUAACGGCCUACCAAGGCGACGAUGCGUAGCCGACCUGAGAGGGUGACCGGCCACACUGGGACUGAGACACGGCCCAGACUCCUACGGGAGGCAGCAGUAGGGAAUUUUCGGCAAUGGGGGAAACCCUGACCGAGCAACGCCGCGUGAAGGAAGAAGUAAUUCGUUAUGUAAACUUCUGUCAUAGAGGAAGAACGGUGGAUAUAGGGAAUGAUAUCCAAGUGACGGUACUCUAUAAGAAAGCCACGG